rnacentral:rRNA from 1 species
AGACAAUAGAUACCCAGGUAGUCCCAGCAGUAAACGGUGCGCGUUUGGUGUGAGCAGAUUCGACUCUGUUCGCGCCGGAGCUAACGCGUUAAACGCGCCGCCUGGGAAGUACGAUCGCAAGAUUAAAACUCAAAGAAAUUGACGGGGGCCCGCACAAGCGGUGGAGUAUGUGGCUUAAUUCGAUGCAACGCGAAGAACCUUACCUGGGUUUGACAUGCAUCUCUAAGGAGGUGAAAGCUUCCGAGGGUAGCAAUACCCGAUUUGCACAGGUGCUGCAUGGCUGUCGUCAGCUCGUGUCGUGAGAUGUUGGGUUAAGUCCCGCAACGAGCGCAACCCUUGUAUGCUGUUGCUAUGCUUACGCAUAGCUCUCUGCGUAGACUGCCCCGUGAAACGGGGAGGAAGGUGGGGAUGACGUCAAGUCAGCAUGGCCCUUACACCCAGGGCUGCACACGUACUACAAUGCUCAGUACAAUUAGAACCUGCCCGCGA